UACGAAGGGGGCGAGCGUUGUUCGGAUUUACUGGGCGUAAAGGGCGCGUAGGCGGCCUUGUCAGUCAGGCGUGAAAGCCCCGGGCUCAACCUGGGAGGUGCGCUUGAUACUCGAGGGCUUGAGUGCGGGAGAGGAGAGUGGAAUUCCCAGUGUAGAGGUGAAAUUCGUAGAUAUUGGGAAGAACACCAAUGGCGAAGGCAGCACUCUGGGACGUGACUGACGCUGAGACGCGAAAGCGUGGGGAGCAAACAGG
rnacentral:rRNA from 1 species